rnacentral:lncRNA from 1 species
AAAACUGAGGAAGAAAACUGACAAGGUUUUCAAGGGAAUUUCCAGGCUGAGAAUCUACGAUGGCCAGUGAGCUGGUAUGAUUCAUACGAAGUUCCAUGUCUCACUUAUCUCUCCAAAUCAUGGUUCUUCACGAGGGAGCCCUUCUUCAGGCUGUUCUUCCGCUCCACGUAGUUGGACGGCCUCAACUUUUGCACUUCCGUGUCCAUCUCUGCAUUGCCCAAUUUUUGCAAGACUCUCCUGCUAAGGUGCUCUAGCUGGAAUCCUCCACUCUCAACAUCUGAUCAGGUUCCUCAUCCUCUACCAUCCCCCAGGUGACAGCUGAUCACCCUGUCCUGCCUUCAGAAGAAUCCUGUUCGCGUGUUGGAGGCAGGCCGUGUGCACUGCUAUUCUCGGGAGCAAAGAAGCAUCUUCUCUGUGGCUGCUCCCACUGAGCAUGGCUGACUCUUACAGGGCAGCAGCUUCUGAUUAACCAUUUUUAAGUGUACAGUUCAGUGGCCUCAAGUACAUUCACCCUGUUGUGCAAACAUCAACAUCAUCUAUCUGCAGAACUAUUUUCAUCUUGAAAAACUGGAAUAGGGAUUGCCCUAAUGUCUUCCACGGAGGCUGCAUCUACAAUUCCACCAACAGUACACAAGGGUACCAAGUUCUCUACAUCCUUGUCAACGCCUGUUAUUGUCUACUUUUUGACAGCAGUCAUCCUAUUGGGUGUAACGUAUACAUCAAUUUCUUAACUGAACAGUAUUUGUACUGCAUCCUCAAUAGAAUUUAUUAGCACAUAGCAAUUCUCAAUAAAAAGAAAAAUUUUAUACU